GAGAUAGCUGGUUCUCCCCGAAAGCUAUUUAGGUAGCGCCUCGUGAAUUCAUCUCCGGGGGUAGAGCACUGUUUCGGCUAGGGGGCCAUCCCGGCUUACCAACCCGAUGCAAACUGCGAAUACCGGAGAAUGUUAUCACGGGAGACACACGGCGGGUGCUAACGUCCGUCGUGAAGAGGGAAACAACCCAGACCGCCAGCUAAGGUCCCAAAGUCAUGGUUAAGUGGGAAACGAUGUGGGAAGGCCCAGACAGCCAGGAUGUUGGCUUAGAAGCAGCCAUCAUUUAAAGAAAGCGUAAUAGCUCACUGGUCGAGUCGGCCUGCGCGGAAGAUGUAACGGGGCUAAACCAUGCACCGAAGCUGCGGCAGCGAACGUAUCACCCAAGACAACUUUACGGAGUUGACGAUUGACGGAGCGAAGCGACGUCAAAGCGUUCAUUAAAGUCGAGUUGGCUUAGGGAUACGUUCGUUGGGUAGGGGAGCGUUCUGUAAGCCUGUGAAGGUGUGUCGUGAGGCAUGCUGGAGGUAUCAGAAGUGCGAAUGCUGACAUAAGUAACGAUAAAGCGGGUGAAAAGCCCGCUCGCCGGAAGACCAAGGGUUCCUGUCCAACGUUAAUCGGGGCAGGGUGAGUCGACCCCUAAGGCGAGGCCGAAAGGCGUAGUCGAUGGGAAACGGGUUAAUAUUCCCGUACUUGGUGUUACUGCGAAGGGGGGACGGAGAAGGCUAUGUUGGCCGGGCGACGGUUGUCCCGGUUUAAGCGUGUAGGUGUGUGUUCCAGGUAAAUCCGGUU
rnacentral:rRNA from 1 species